CAUAACAUUUAACUACUCACAAUGACAAAGAGUGGGAAAUGCACAGUGUUAAAAUGCUUCCCACAUGUUUACUCCAUGUUUCUAUCUAAUGGAAGGCCCAACACGUCCGUCCCAUCUACCAGCAUAAAAACUUCACAUGACUCUGAGCCCCUUAUGAUCCCUGCAUAAACUCUCUAAUCCUCUGCUGAUCUUUGUUACAUGGAUUUAACUCUUCAAUGAACUGGACGUCCACAGUGUUCAAAUCCCUGAAAGCAGGAUGAAGUCCAGCCAGCCAAUCACAGGACAGGAAGUGAUCAGCUGACACAGUGAUUUGAAGCUGUCAGGGUGAGGCUGCUUCAUGCAGGUGUGAAACUAUGAGGAAGCUGAACGCCUCCUCUUUCCUCAGAAGUGAUCUGUGGCAGUCUGCCAUCAUGUUUGGCUGCACACACUGAAUGUGACUCACUGAGAAGCUGAACCAUGUUUUUGAUGAUCACACUUUAAUUUAACAGCUGAACAAUGAACUUUUAGAAAGUGUCAAAUCUGACAAACUUUUACCUUCAUGUUGUUAAAGUUUCACAUGUUCAAAUAUUUCUGUUUCAAUGAGCAACAUAAAUUUUGAUGUGAUGUCCAAGUAAAACACAGACUUUAGAUUGAUUUAAAAAUGUCUGUAAUCCAGAUGAUUCCAAACAAAGUGUAAAAUAAGAGCAACAUUUCAUUGAAGCUGUGGCUUCAUUUAUCACAGUGUCACAAAGAGUUUCCUGUUUCUGUUUUCAGCCUGUCGGCUCUCACAGUGUUAUAUUGCACAUGUGCUGUGAGUAAUAAUAUAAAUAAUAAUAAUAAUAGAAAUGAAUAAAUAAAGAGAUAAACAGCACCAACAGGAGCCUGUAGAGAGUUUCUGGUCUUGCAAAGACAAACAUGUUUGUUCCAACAGAACAUUCAGAUCAUAAUUCAGAUGUGAAAAGCUGUCAGACAGGACAGGUUAUAUAAACACAGUGUUUAGUUUGUGAGAGCAGGUAAAGGCAAAGAACCAGGAAUGAACUGUGGGGAACCUGAUUGGACGCUUUGGAUUUCCUGAUCUCACAGUGUUUUUGUCCUGUUUCAGUAGAUUUUGAUGGCUUUGGUUCCAUGAAAUGUUCGGGCUGAUGAGUGUUUGCCUCUGCUCGCAUCCUUUGUGUGCUUUGAGCUUUUAAAGGAAGAGUUUGUGACAAAGUCCAAAUCUUCAUGUCAGCAGACCUGCUGCCCCCUGAGGAAAAACCAUCAUUAAUAAAGUGAAAGAAC
rnacentral:lncRNA from 1 species